rnacentral:lncRNA from 1 species
AUGGCUGGUGCCUAUACGGCAACACCCCUCCCCCACCUAGGACAAUCAGACCACCUUUCUUUGUUCCUCACCCCCAAGUAUUCACCCCUCAUCAACCGCGUCAGGCCAUCAAUGAAGACCAUCAAGGUGUGGCCGGCGGGAGCAGACUCCGUAUUCCAGGACAGGUUUCAACACACGGACUGGAGUAUGUUUACGCCCCAGGGCAGCUGUGGCUCACACACACACACCGACAUUGACAAUUUCACCUCCACUGUUCUGGACCACAUCACCACCACCAUCGACAGCAUAACCACCACGAAGCGGAUCACCACAUACCCCAAUCAGAAGCCAUGGAUGAACAAGGAGGUGCGGCUCCUGCUGAAGGCGCGCAACACUGCCUUCAGAUCAGGAGAAGCCCAGGCCUACAGCACAGCCAGGGCUAACCUGAGGAGGGGCAUCAAAAAGGCCAAGCACACCUACAAACGCAAAAUUGAGGGUCACUUUUCCAGCUCUGACCCCAGGCGUAUGUGGCAAGGCAUCCAGGCCAUCACCGACUACAAACCCAACAACUCCAGCCCCACAGUCAUGGACACCACCUUUUUGAACGAGCUUAAUACCUUCUAUGCUCGCUUCGAAAAGGACACCGCCACUAGGACCCCUCUCCCAGCAGACCACCAACCCAUCACACUAUCAUCUACCGCCGUCUACACAGCCCUCAGCCGGAUCAACCCACGCAAGGCUGCUGGUCCUGAUGGCAUCCCUGGACGUGUGCUCAGGGCAUGCGCAGAACAGCUCGCCGGGAUUUUUACAGACAUCUUCAAUCUGUCCCUCGCCCACGCAGUGGUCCCGUCUUGCUUCAAGGCCACAACUAUCGUCCCAGUUCCGAAGCAUUCCAGACCAACCUGCCUCAAUGACUACCGCCCGGUAGCACUCACCCCCAUCAUUAUGAAGUGCUUCGAGCGACUGGUCCUGGCUCACCUGAAAGACUGCCUCCCAACCACACUCGAUCCACACCAGUUUGCCUACCGCAGCAACAGGAGCAUAGAUGAUGCAGUCUCCAUAGCACUGCACUCUGUGCUCACACACCUGGACAACACGAACACUUAUGCACGAUUGCUGUUUGCUGACUUCAGCUCAGCUUUCAACACCGUCGUCCCCUCCAAGCUGAUCACCAAACUUGGAGACCUGGGCAUCAACCCCUCCCUCUGCAACUGGACUCUGGACUCUGGACUUCCUGACCGACAGACCACAGCAUGUUAG